rnacentral:rRNA from 1 species
AUUGAACGCUGGCGGCAUGCUUUGCACAUGCCAGUCGAACGGUAACAGGCCUUCGGGUGCUGACGAGUGGCGAACGGGUGAGUAAUGCAUCGGAACGUGCCCAGAGGUGGGGGAUAACGCAGCGAAAGCUGUGCUAAUACCGCAUGUGAUCUGAGGAUGAAAGCGGGGGACCAGGCAGCAAUGUUUGGCCUCGCGCCUUUGGAGCGGCCGAUGUCAGAUUAGGUAGUUGGUGGGGUAAAGGCCUACCAAGCCGACGAUCUGUAGCUGGUCUGAGAGGACGACCAGCCACACUGGGACUGAGACACGGCCCAGACUCCUACGGGAGGCAGCAGUGGGGAAUUUUGGACAAUGGGCGCAAGCCUGAUCCAGCAAUGCCGCGUGCGGGAAGAAGGCCUUCGGGUUGUAAACCGCUUUUGUACGGAACGAAAAGGCUCUGGCUAAUACCUGGGGCUGAUGACGGUACCGUAAGAAUAAGCACCGGCUAACUACGUG